AUUGAACGCUGGCGGCAGGCUUAACACAUGCAAGUCGAGCGAGCGGCGGACGGGUGAGUAAUGUAUGGGAAACUGACUGAUGGAGGGGGAUGAAUACGAGAAACGGUAGCUACUACAGCAUCACAUACGAUGUGCCCAGAUGGGAUUAGCUAGUAGGUGGGGAAAUGGCUCACCUAGGCGACGAUCCCUCGCUGGCCUGAGAGGAUGAACAGCCACACUGUAGCUGGGACCCGGUCCAGAAUCCUACGGGAGGCAUCAGUGGGGAAUAUUGGACAAUGGGCGCAAGUCUGAUACAGCCAGGCCGCGUGUGUGAAGAAGGCCUUCGGGUUGUAAAGCACUUUCAGCGAAGAGGCGUUACUCGCAGAAGAAGCACCGGCUAACUCCGUGCCAGCAGCCGCGGUAAUAC
rnacentral:rRNA from 1 species